rnacentral:rRNA from 1 species
ACUCUCAGCAACAGAUAUCUUGGCUCUUGCAACGAUGAAGAACGCAGCGAAAUGCGAUACGUAGUGUGAAUUGCAGAAUUCCGCGAAUCAUCGAGUUUUUGAACGCAAGUUGCGCCCGAGGCUUGUCCGAGGGCAUUUCCGCUAGAGCGUCA